GCCCUCGUAGCUCAGGGGAUAGAGCAGCGGCCUUCUAAUCCGCUUGUCGGUCGUUCGAGUCGACCCGGGGGCACCA
rnacentral:tRNA from 1 species